AGCAGUCGCCGCGGGAAUACGUAGGGUGCAAGCGUUAUCCGGAUUUAUUGGGUUUAAAGGGUCCGUAGGCGGAUCUGUAAGUCAGUGGUGAAAUCUCACAGCUUAACUGUGAAACUGCCAUUGAUACUGCAGGUCUUGAGUAAAUUUGAAGUGGCUGGAAUAAGUAGUGUAGCGGUGAAAUGCAUAGAUAUUACUUAGAACACCAAUUGCGAAGGCAGGUCACUAAGAUUUAACUGACGCUGAUGGACGAAAGCGUGGGGAGCGAACAGGAUUAGAUACCCCAGUAGUCCCUGUCUCUUAUAC
rnacentral:rRNA from 1 species